GCCCAGUUCUUAUGGGAUAGCUCAGUCAGUAAAUCAUGAGACUCUUAAUCUCCGUGUUGUGGGUUCGAGCCCCCACAUUGGGAA